ACUGAGGUGCAGCAGAGCCCAGAGGAGGCUGUCAGCAGCAUCCCAGGAGGAUGUUGCAAAACUGAUUCCUGUUUAUGGACGUGGAGGGUGAAGGAGGUGUUCAUGGGGCAUCACCCAGGGUGUAGUCUGAUAUUAACUUGCAUGUAAGUAGGCAACCUCUUCUUUUAAACAUCAAAAAUCACUUAAAAGGAUUAUCUCUGUCAUUUCUAUUAUAGGGGAAUUACUUUGCUCAGAUAAUGAAAUUGCUUGUUUCUUAAGAGUUUAACUCAAUUGUGCUGAGAGAAUGGGGCAAUGGGGUGAUUUGGGAGAUGAAGGCAUUGUAUAGGAAGGAAGCCCGAGACACCUCUCCCCACAAAUCUUCUCCUCAGGGACACAGCGAUAGGUACGGACUUGGAUUAUUAAAAGUAUGUGUUUCUCCAAGUGUAUAGAACACCAGUCUCUGCAGAGGGGUUCUGGGUAUUUGGUGGGAAAAAGCACUGAGGCCAAACACAUUGGACAUGUUAGGCAGGCUUCCUUCUUGUAGAACCUCCACCAAGGCUAUGGCGUAUGCCCCCCAUUCCAAUCACAUUUGAGCAAAGGGCCCCGUUUUUCCUCAUAAACACACAUUUUGGAAACG
rnacentral:lncRNA from 1 species